UACAACAGAAAUAUAUACAUGCAACACAACACAUUGGUUUCAACAUUAUUUGUAAAUUUGACAAUUUCCGCAUAUCAUUUGUUCAUACAGUUACAGUUGACUUUCAGCAUUUUAUUCAGAUAUGUAAAUUCCAGAGAAGUAAUGGUUUGCCUUAUAAUUUGAUCUAUAACAGUGGUAGGAAAUGUUCACAUAAAGGGUUUCCAGAACACAGGCAGAAGAAAUGUAAUUAGUAUUUA